rnacentral:rRNA from 1 species
GUGCUAAGGUAGCGAAAUCAUUUGUUUUUUAAUUGGGAACGUGUAUGAAUGGUUUAAUGAAUUUUUAAGAUAUUAUUUAAGAAAGUCAAAUUUUAAGUUAAGGUAAAAAUUCCUUAUUAUUAAAAGGGGACGAUAAGACCCUAAAAUCUUUAAUAAUUAAGUGUUUUGUUGGGAAUUUUUUUAAAAUAUUUGCUGGGGUAGUAAUUUUAUAAAAAUUAAAUUUCAAGCCGACUUUAUGAUUUAAUGAUCUUUUAUAUAAGGAUAGUUAGAAAUAGUUACUUUAGGGGUAACAGCGUAAUAUUUUUAGUGAGGCCUUAUCUAUAAAAAUGAUUGCGACCUCGAUGUUGAAUUAAAUUACUUUUAUAGGGCAGCAAAUAUAAUAGAAGGGUUUGUUCAACCUAUAAUAUUUUACAUGAUUU